AAAAAUGGGUAUCCUACGGCCAGGGAUGUGGAAGGGUUGGCUUGUGUUCCUGGCUACCAACCUCCUCCCUGGUGCUUGGUUGGGACAUUUCGCUCGAGUUCUUUUGAGUCUCUGCCAUGGACAUCUUCGUAGCAGGCUACAUAUGUCUACUAUUUCCUUGCUGGAGUGUGACGUG